rnacentral:rRNA from 1 species
GCCACUGCUAUUGGGGUUCGGCUAAGCCAUGCGAGUGGAGGGCGUCCCGCAAGGGAUGGCCCCGCAGACGGCUCAGUAACACGUCGUCAACCCACCUUAGGGUGGGGGACAACCUCGGGAAACUGAGGAUAAUCCCCCAUAGGCGGGGGAGGCUGGAAUGCGCCCCCGCUGAAAGCUCAGGCGCCCUAGGACGGGACGGCGGCCUAUCAGGUAGUUGGGUGGUGUGACG